rnacentral:rRNA from 1 species
GUAGGGGGCGAGCGUUAUCCGGAUUCAUUGGGCGUAAAGCGCGCGUAGGCGGCCCGGCAGGCCGGGGGUCGAAGCGGGGGGCUCAACCCCCCGAAGCCCCCGGAACCUCCGCGGCUUGGGUCCGGUAGGGGAGGGUGGAACACCCGGUGUAGCGGUGGAAUGCGCAGAUAUCGGGUGGAACACCGGUGGCGAAGGCGGCCCUCUGGGCCGAGACCGACGCUGAGGCGCGAAAGCUGGGGGAGCGAACAGGAUUAGAUACCCUGGUAGUCCCAGCCGUAAACGAUGGACGCUAGGUGUGGGGGGACGAUCCCCCCGUGCCGCAGCCAACGCAUUAAGCGU